rnacentral:lncRNA from 1 species
UAUGACCAUUUUCUCAAUUUAUUAGGAAAAAAAAAAAAAAUUUUUCAAAAAUAUUUUUUUUAUUUGCACUCUGUACAUUUUUCAAAAAACCCUGAAAUAGGUGUCCAAUGAAUUUAAUUGAAGAACCCGUAUACAAAUUUUCAGGUCUUUAGGUGCCCUGGUUUUUGAGUUAUGGCCAUUUUCUCAAUUUAUUAUGAAAAAAAAUAUUAAUUUUUCAAAAAUAUUUUUUUUAUUUGCACUCUGUACAUUUUUCAAAAAACCCUGAAAUAGGUGUCAAAUGAAUUUAAAUGGAGAACCCGUAUACAAAUUUUCAGGUGUUUAGGUGCCCUGGUUUUUGAGUUAUGGCCAUUUUCUCAAUUUAUUAUGAAAAAAAAUAUUAAUUUUUCAAAAAUAUUUUUUUUCUUUGCACUCUGUAUAUUUUUCAAAAAACCCUGAAAUAGGUGUCAAAUGAAUUUAAUUGAAGAACCCGUAUACAAAUUUUCAGGUCUUUAGGUGCCCUGGUUUUUGAGUUAUGACCAUUUUCUCAAUUUAUUAGGAAAAAAAAUAUAAAUUUUUCAAAAAUAUUUUUUUUCUCUGCACUCUGUAUAUUUUUCAAAAAACCCUGAAAUAGGUGUCAAAUGAAUUUAAUUGAAGAACCCGUAUACAAAUUUUCAGGUCUUUAGGUGCCCUGGUUUUUGAGUUAUGACCAUUUUCUCAAUUUAUUAGGAAAAAAAAUAUUAAUUUUUCAAAAAUAUUUUUUUUAUUUGCACUCUGUACAUUUUUCAAAAAACCCUGAAAUAGGUGUCCAAUGAAUUUAAUUGAAGAACCCGUAUACAAAUUUUCAGGUCUUUAGGUGCCCUGGUUUUUGAGUUAUGGCCAUUUUCUCAAUUUAUUAGGAAAAAAAAUAUUAAUUUUUCAAAAAUAUUUUUUUUCUCUGCACUCUGUAUAUUUUUCAAAAAACCCUGAAAUAGGUGUCAAAUGAAUUUAAUUGAAGAACCCGUAUACAAAUUUUCAGGUCUUUAGGUGCCCUGGUUUUUGAGUUAUGACCAUUUUCUCAAUUUAUUAGGAAAAAAAAUAUUAAUUUUUCAAAAAUAUUUUUUUUAUUUGCACUCUGUACAUUUUUCAAAAAACCCUGAAAUAGGUGUCAAAUGAAUUUAAAUGGAGAACCCGUAUACAAAUUUUCAGGUGUUUAGGUGCCCUGGUUUUUGAGUUAUGGCCAUUUUCUCAAUUUAUUAUGAAAAAAAAUAUUAAUUUUUCAAAAAUAUUUUUUUUAUUUGCACUCUGUACAUUUUUCAAAAAACCCUGAAAUAGGUGUCAAAUGAAUUUAAAUGGAGAACCCGUAUACAAAUUUUCAGGUCUUUAGGUGCCCUGGUUUUUGAGUUAUGACCAUUUUCUCAAUUUAUUAGGAAAAAAAAUAUUAAUUUUUCAAAAAUAUUUUUUUUAUUUGCACUCUGUACAUUUUUCAAAAAACCCUGAAAUAGGUGUCAAAUGAAUUUAAAUGGAGAACCCGUAUACAAAUUUUCAGGUGUUUAGGUGCCCUGGUUUUUGAGUUAUGGCCAUUUUCUCAAUUUAUUAUGAAAAAAAAUAUUAAUUUUUCAAAAAUAUUUUUUUUAUUUGCACUCUGUACAUUUUUCAAAAAACCCUGAAAUAGGUGUCAAAUGAAUUUAAAUGGAGAACCCGUAUACAAAUUUUCAGGUCUUUAGGUGCCCUGGUUUUUGAGUUAUGGCCAUUUUCUCAAUUUAUUAUGAAAAAAAAUAUUAAUUUUUCAAAAAUAUUUUUUUUCUUUGCACUCUGUAUAUUUUUCAAAAAACCCUGAAAUAGGUGUCAAAUGAAUUUAAUUGAAGAACCCGUAUACAAAUUUUCAGGUCUUUAGGUGCCCUGGUUUUUGAGUUAUGACCAUUUUCUCAAUUUAUUAUGAAAAAAAAUAUUAAUUUUUCAAAAAUAUUUUUUUUCUUUGCACUCUGUAUAUUUUUCAAAAAACCCUGAAAUAGGUGUCAAAUGAAUUUAAUUGAAGAACCCGUAUACAAAUUUUCAGGUCUUUAGGUGCCCUGGUUUUUGAGUUAUGACCAUUUUCUCAAUUUAUUAGGAAAAAAAAUAUUAAUUUUUCAAAAAUAUUUUUUUUAUUUGCACUCUGUACAUUUUUCAAAAAACCCUGAAAUAGGUGUCAAAUGAAUUUAAAUGGAGAACCCGUAUACAAAUUUUCAGGUGUUUAGGUGCCCUGGUUUUUGAGUUAUGGCCAUUUUCUCAAUUUAUUAUGAAAAAAAAUAUUAAUUUUUCAAAAAUAUUUUUUUUAUUUGCACUCUGUACAUUUUUCAAAAAACCCUGAAAUAGGUGUCAAAUGAAUUUAAAUGGAGAACCCGUAUACAAAUUUUCAGGUCUUUAGGUGCCCUGGUUUUUGAGUUAUGGCCAUUUUCUCAAUUUAUUAUGAAAAAAAAUAUUAAUUUUUCAAAAAUAUUUUUUUUCUUUGCACUCUGUAUAUUUUUCAAAAAACCCUGAAAUAGGUGUCAAAUGAAUUUAAUUGAAGAACCCGUAUACAAAUUUUCAGGUCUUUAGGUGCCCUGGUUUUUGAGUUAUGACCAUUUUCUCAAUUUAUUAUGAAAAAAAAUAUUAAUUUUUCAAAAAUAUUUUUUUUCUUUGCACUCUGUAUAUUUUUCAAAAAACCCUGAAAUAGGUGUCAAAUGAAUUUAAUUGAAGAACCCGUAUACAAAUUUUCAGGUCUUUAGGUGCCCUGGUUUUUGAGUUAUGACCAUUUUCUCAAUUUAUUAUGAAAAAAAAUAUUAAUUUUUCAAAAAUAUUUUUUUUCUUUGCACUCUGUAUAUUUUUCAAAAAACCCUGAAAUAGGUGUCAAAUGAAUUUAAUUGAAGAACCCGUAUACAAAUUUUCAGGUCUUUAGGUGCCCUGGUUUUUGAGUUAUGGCCAUUUUCUCAAUUUAUUAUGAAAAAAAAUAUUAAUUUUUCAAAAAUAUUUUUUUUAUUUGCACUCUGUAUAUUUUUCAAAAAACCCUGAAAUAGGUGUCUAAUGAAUUUAAAUGGAGAAUUCGUAUACAAAUUUUCAGGUCUUUAGGUGCCCUGGUUUUUGAGUUAUGGCCAUUUUCUCAAUUUAUUAUAAAAAAAAAAUAUUAUUUUUUCAAAAAUAUUUUUUUUCUCUGCACUCUGUACAUUUUUCAAAAAACCCUGAAACAGGUGUCUAAUGAAUUUAAAUGAAGAAUUCGUACACAAAUUUUCAGGUCUUUAGGUGCCCUGGUUUUUGAGUUAUGGCCAUUUUCUCAAUUUAUUAGAAAAAAAAUAUUAAUUUUUCAAAAAUAUUUUUUUUCUCUGCACUCUGUACAUUUUUCAAAAAACCCUAAAAUAGGUGUCAAAUCAAUUCAAAUGAAGAACCCGUAUACAAAUUUUCAGGUCUUUAGGUGCCCUGAUUUUUGAGUUAUGGCCAUUUUCUCAAUUUAUUAUGAAAAAAAAUAUUAUUUUUUCGAAAAUAUUUUUUUUCUCUGCACUCUAUACAUUUUUCAAAAAACCCUGAAAUAGGUGUCUAAUGAAUUCAAAUGAAGAACCCGUAUACAAAUUUUCAGGUCUUUAGGUGCCCUGGUUUUUGAGUUAUGGCCAUUUUCUCAAUUUAUUAUGAAAAAAAAUAUUAUUUUUUCAAAAAUAUUUUUUUUCUCUGCACUCUAUACAUUUUUCAAAAAACCCUGAAAUAGGUGUCUAAUGAAUUCAAAUGAAGAACCCGUAUACAAAUUUUCAGGUCUUUAGGUGCCCUGGUUUUUGAGUUAUGGCCAUUUUCUCAAUUUAUUAGGAAAAAAAAUAUUAUUUUUUCAAAAAUAUUUUUUUUUUCUGCACUCUGUACAUUUUUCAAAAAACCCUGAAAUAGGUGUCUAAUGAAUUUAAAUGAAGAAUUCGUACACAAAUUUUCAGGUCUUUAGGUGCCCUGGUUUUUGAGUUAUGGCCAUUUUCUCAAUUUAUUAGAAAAAAAAUAUUAACUUUUGAAAAAUAUUUUUUUUUCUCUACACCCUGUACAUUUUUCAAAAAACCCUAAAAUAGGUGUCUAAUGAAUUUAAAUGAAGAACCCGUAUACAAAUUUUCAGGUCUUUAGGUGCCCUGGUUUUUGAGUUAUGGCCAUUUUCUCAAUUUAUUAGGAAAAAAAAUAUUAAUUUUUCAAAAAUAUUUUUUUUCUCUGCACUUUGUAUAUUUUUCAAAAAACCCUGAAAUAGGUGUCUAAUGAAUUCAAAUGAAGAACCCGUAUACAAAUUUUCAGGUCUUUAGGUGCCCUGAUUUUUGAGUUAUGGCCAUUUUUUCAAUUUAUUAGGAAAAAAAAUAUUAAUUUUUCAAAAAUAUUUUUUUUCUUUACACUCUGUACAUUUUUCAAAAAACCCUGAAAUAGGUGUCUAAUGAAUUUAAAUGAGGAACCCGUAU